CAUGCAAGUCGAGCGGACAGAAGGGAGCUUGCUCCCGGAUGUUAGCGGCGGACGGGUGAGUAACACGUGGGUAACCUGCCUGUAAGACUGGGAUAACUCCGGGAAACCGGAGCUAAUACCGGAUAGUUCCUUGAACCGCAUGGUUCAAGGAUGAAAGACGGUUUCGGCUGUCACUUACAGAUGGACCCGCGGCGCAUUAGCUAGUUGGUGGGGUAAUGGCUCACCAAGGCGACGAUGCGUAGCCGACCUGAGAGGGUGAUCGGCCACACUGGGACUGAGACACGGCCCAGACUCCUACGGGAGGCAGCAGUAGGGAAUCUUCCGCAAUGGACGAAAGUCUGACGGAGCAACGCCGCGUGAGUGAUGAAGGUUUUCGGAUCGUAAAGCUCUGUUGUUAGGGAAGAACAAGUGCGAGAGUAACUGCUCGCACCUUGACGGUACCUAACCAGAAAGCCACGGCUAACUACGUGCCAGCAGCCGCGGUAAUACGUAGGUGGCAAGCGUUGUCCGGAAUUAUUGGGCGUAAAGGGCUCGCAGGCGGUUUCUUAAGUCUGAUGUGAAAGCCCCCGGCUCAACCGGGGAGGGUCAUUGGAAACUGGGAAACUUGAGUGCAGAAGAGGAGAGUGGAAUUCCACGUGUAGCGGUGAAAUGCGUAGAGAUGUGGAGGAACACCAGUGGCGAAGGCGACUCUCUGGUCUGUAACUGACGCUGAGGAGCGAAAGCGUGGGGAGCGAACAGGAUUAGAUACCCUGGUAGUCCACGCCGUAAACGAUGAGUGCUAAGUGUUAGGGGGUUUCCGCCCCUUAGUGCUGCAGCUAACGCAUUAAGCACUCCGCCUGGGGGAGUA
rnacentral:rRNA from 1 species